UUCUUACUUUUCCUGUAGGAGGUCUGGAUACGGUCCGAAGGGGGGGGGGGGGGGGGGGGGAAGCCUGUCUGGUGCUUGGAGGAGCACUGCGCACGCAACAGGUUCUACCUGAGUGCACUUUUCUAAACCUUCUCUGAUGACUGCUUUCUGUUGGUUUGGGACUCCGAAUAAUAGAACACAGGUGAACAGACGAAGGCAAGUCUUGAGCCCCUCCCAUGGACCAUAGAGACCACAGGCCCGAGGCCAUAGAGACCUUGUCCUGGCCUUGGGGAGCUCACAGGGAAUGCGCCAUUGAACAGUUCCCACUGCUCUGUAGCCACUGUGGAACCACAAUUACCCAGCGAGGGGGCUGCGGUGGGUUAUUAUUGCCAUGAAAAAGGCCAGGAUGCGGCUGAGUACCUGGGAAUUACUCUCCCUCCACUGACACAGAGGCGGACUUUGCAAACCUGCUGCAUUUGCACGCACAAUUAGCAUUAAAAGCUCUACCCGGGUUCAUGCGGAAUCGCUUUUAAAGAAAAAUCAGCAAAGGUCGCGGAGAAGUGGCAGCUAAACGCCUAGGUGCCAGCCUGGCUACGAACCACGCAGGGGCAAGCUGUGAAAUUGUGGGCCUACGCACCGAAUCAAGAGCCGGAAGAAAUCUUUGCACUUUCUACCUGGGGGGCUUCGGGACCAAGCAGAUUCUUCUCUGAGCCCCAGUUUAUCUGUAAAAUGAAUAUAGCAGUACCUACCUCACCGGGAUGUAAAGAUGAGUAACUCCAACAAUAACAUAUAAGUUCUAAAGCCGUGUAAACCUAA